rnacentral:rRNA from 1 species
ACUCCUACGGGAGGCAGCAGUGGGGAAUAUUGCACAAUGGGGGAAACCCUGAUGCAGCCAUGCCGCGUGUGUGAAGAAGGCCUUCGGUUGUAAAGCACUUUCUAGUAGGGAGGAAGGUAGUGUAGUUAACACCUGCAUUAUUUGUACGUUACCUACAGAAGAAGCACCGGCUAACUCCGUGCCAGCAGCCGCGGUAAGUACGGAGGGUGCGAGCGUUAAUCGGAAUUACGUGGGCGUAAAGCGCAUGCAGGCGGCCUGUUAAGUCAGAUGUGAAAGCCCGGGGCUUAACCUCGGAAUUGCAUUUGAAACUGGCAGGCUAGAGUCUUGUAGAGGGGUUAGGAAUUUCAGGUGUAGCGGUGAAAUGCGUAGAGAUCUGAAGGAAUACCAGUGGCGAA